AGAAGUGUUGGGGUUUUCUGCUCCCAGAACUUCAUUGUUAAAGAAGGGAGGAGGAAUUUGUCCUUCCCUCCACUUGGCAAGCAAUGCGCAUGUUCCUUUCUGUAAACAGCAGACUAAUUUGAGCAGUGAGCAGCCCCCACUGGCUUCUGGCUUUUACUAACUGUAGGCUGAGGGCUCAGUGCAACAAAAACUUGAGUUGCUCACAGAACAGCUACUCUGAUUCAGAUGAAAGCUGGGGAGGACUUUGGUCUUUCUUGGAAAAUACUUGUGCUUUUUUGUUGAUUGUUCUUGUUCCCAACAGAGACAGAAGUGAACUAAUCUCCCAAACUGGGAUGCUCAGAGAUGUCCAAAGUGAGAUAGGACUGGCAAGAAUACAAUACACAGAUUAAUAAGGAAGUCAUUAAGGGAUAGAAAAGCUCUGAUGUGAUGGAGUGGCUUUUAGUUUGAAGAAAAAUAGAAUGUCUUGCUCCUGAGUACCCUGAACAAUGAAGAUGAAGAUACCUGUUCCAGAAAGUAGACUUGGACCCCCAAGUUGUUUCAUACUUAGGUCCUGGGAAAUUAAAUGCAAGGAGCCACUGUAAGGUGCUAGACCUGAAGUUCCCAUCCUGUGGUCCAAGAAAAGCUGGCACAUCACAUGCAUUUCAGAAAUGCACACUUUAUCAUUCAGUGAUUUACCAACCCAACGUUGAGAACUGAAAAGGAGGCAGACAGAUAUGUUCUUUACCUUUUAUGACAACUGGGGCCAGUUUCCUGUUCAACUUAAUCUAAACUCAAGAAUAAUAUUUUAUCUGCUCCUUCCAAAUUUCAAAACUUUAACAACAACAGCAACAAAAUGGAUAGAGGAUGCUGCCUUUUGCAUGCCAUGUGAAGAAGCCAGAGACAGAAUGGAACGGAAGUUGGCUGGGAAAUCUGAGAACAGAUUUGGAGUGGCAGAGUUGCACAUGAAGCAUGUAGGAUGAGGUGCCACGUGGCAACAGCUUUCUCUUCUGGCUGUGCUGAGGAGCUCUCAGCACACUGUACUCCCACCUGCCAUUGCAGCAGCUCAUGUGUGGAGGCACCUCUGGAGAACACCAGGUCCAAACCCCAGCCCAAAGCAGCGCCUCCUGGAACUACACAGGGCCAUGGCUGAGUGAGAUCACAAUGGUGGCUGAGAAAUCUUUGUUGCUCCCUUUUCUCCCAUCAGCAACACUCAUAUCCAGGCUGAAUAAAUCCUUCAACAGCAUUCUUUGCUUGUGGCCGUUUGAUGUGCUUCCAAGCAGCUACAAACAUGGGAGACACCCAAACUGCUUAGUGCCAGAAAGGCUGAAACUGCACUGCCAUGGGAGCCUGAACGGCAGAGGGGCCACCUGGCAGUGCCCUGCAGGACCCAAGGUGCUCACCCACCCACUACGCAAGAAGCUCCUCAUGUCCUUCCGCUCUGCGGUGGGCAGCACCUGGAGUGCCUUUCCUAGCUCUGAUUCUAUUCUUCUGCUCCAAAGCAACAAGCCAAACUCCCCACCAGCAUUCAACCUCUGUGCCAAAAAGAAAAUAACAAGAGUAAAAGCGCUGCACAACAGAAACACAUAGGACAGUGAAAAGGCUGGGAUUGCUGGGGAGUCCAGCAUAGUCGCGUCAGGGUGCUCAGGUCGGUGCUGCUGCAGCAUUCAUCCAGGCCAAUGGGGAAGGUAGGUGGUUGGUGGCUGUGAGCACCUCCCCUGGAUGGAAAAUGACACCUCUGCUCAGCUCUGGACAUUUCUGAAUGCCACAGGAGGUUGGGGAGACCAGCCCAGCUGGAAAGAGGGUAGACAUGCUCCAGCAUCAAUGCCAUCAGCUCUGACAAGGUCCUGGCUGGCUGCAGCACGCUGAUGUCCUCAUAAACCAAGGCUUUCUCUCUGAUGGCUGUGCAAACGAGAAGCUGGGCUUAACUGGAGCACAGUGCUGUUGCUGGCUUUAACUCUCCAAUGAACUCUCCAAUUCCCAUUUUCCCAGGGCAGUUCAGCGCCAGGGUAAAUCAGUGCAUGUGUGCAGCCCUGCUGCCAGCUGGCUGCUCCUGCCUGCAGCGGUGUCUGGUCACAGCUCUGGGGAUGUGCCCUGCAAGUCCCCCCUUGGCAGCACCUCCUGCCUGCCACGCUCACUUCCUUCAGCCUUUGCCUUUCUCCCUGCUCUGGUCCUCUGACUUCAGAACAUGGCUUUCUGUUUUAGUUCACUUCUGUAUUUAUACUGGGCCAAACUGACUGGAUACUUUCUGAACAGGGUGACCUAGGAGUUUUGAACAGACCAUCUUGUCAAAAGUUCUGUUAUUUCCCUUACCAAUGUGGUUUGAUUUGUUUUAUUUUCUUUUUUCUUGGUAAAACUGUCAAUAGGAACCACUUUUUGAAAGUCAGAAGAUGCAAAGCAGACCUUCCACAAGGAUUCCCCAAGGAGCAGAGAAUUUGAGGAUCACUGCGAAGGGCAUCAUUGCUCCUUGCUGUUCAUCCCAAACUGUCUUCAUUCUCUCACCCUGUGUAUUCCUGCACAACGGGACUGAGGGAAGUGCAUGAGAUCUAUUGCUGAACUGUGGUGUGGAUAAACUUUGUCUUCCUCAGCUAGCAUUCUGUCACCUUUCAAGAGUGAAAAAUUCAUUUUUAAAACAAAAAUCCCAAGUAAGAAACCUCACAUAGUUGCAGGAAACCACCACAGAGGUAUACAAUAUCCAGCGGAAGACCUUGCUGAAAACUGAACAGAUUACUCUUGUUAUAUGUGGUUAAACUGGGCCAUUAAUGCUAAAACAGUUCAAAGCACAAAAUAAAUUCUGAUUUUCUCCUGUCAAAGUUGGUGGUUUGGUGUUCACACAUUCUAGGCUCCGGUUAAAUGAUUUACUGUACAAUUUAAUGCCUUUCAGCUGUCACUAGCAUAAAAGGAUCCCUUGAAUGAUCUGCCAGUGAAUGAAGGCAGCACUUGCCCAGGGUGAAGUGUGGCCAGGGCUGCAGGACCCAACUUGCCAAGAUACUCAGGAACAAUCACGUAAGCCACUGUGACCCAUGUGUGGUACCCAGCGAAGUGAAGGCCACCUUGCUGUGAUCACAUCUGCAAAACCACUUCAUUUAAAGCAUACUGAGACGUUCACUCUGCUGUGGAACUUUUACGAGCAACUGCCUUUACAACAGCUCGCACCAUAGGCACGCUGCUAUUCUUUGUCCUUCUUUUGAACUCUUCUCUGCUCCUGGUCUUCCAGCGGUGUGAUUUUUUGAAGUUUUCCUUCACAAUAGCUUCUCAAAAUCCCAGUUCUCACAUAUCAACACAAAUAGGAGAAACAGUUGCCAUGGGACAGUGAAAAACAUAUUUCAGGAGCAAAGAAGGAAAUAAAAAAGGCACUGGAUUUCAGCAGUUACGUGUUGUAGUGUUUGACGUAGCUCUGAGUUCUUUGCUUUGUCUCUAGCUGCAGUGGUACUGUGCCUCUCAUGUUCAGCAGUGGGUGCACUCAGCAGUGGGUGCAGCUCUUAGCAGUGACCUCAUGGGGACACAGCAGUGCCCAGCACUGCAGCCAUGUUCUGUGGAACAGAGAGAAUACUGGUGUCACCUAAAACU
ensembl:lncRNA